rnacentral:lncRNA from 1 species
UAGCCUUGGGGAUGUUUUCGAUGUUUUUCACUGCUUUAUCGCCUUAUCGGGUGCCGUAGGUUAAGGCUCUCCCCUCUUUUCAUUCUGACUGUAGUUAGUCGAGUUCUAGUCGGCCCCGGGCUCGGUCUGUGUUUUUUGUGUUUGAAAUUUGAACUAAAUUCGAGGAAAAAUCGCCUGAACGAAAAACAAGUGGAGAAAAAAUGCACGUUGACGGGGACACAAAGGGAGCCACUUGGUUACCGCCUCAGACAUCGACGGAGCAGCAAAAGCAGUUAAAACAAGACGCAGAGUUUUUUCUACUCUGGAAAAAUUUGGCUCAUUACACACUCAUACAUAUUGUCUACGAUGAAGGCCGUUUUCUCCUCUGAGCUCUCAUCCAUUUCAAUUUGCCAAUAUCCUGACGCUAAAUCUAGAGUCGAAAAAUAUUUUUGACCGUGAGCAAAUCGAGGACAUCAUCUAUUCGAGGUAACGGAAAAGAAUCCUUUUUCAUAAUACCGUUGAGUUUCCUAUAAUCCAUGCAGAGCCGGAUUCAUCCAUUUUUCUUUUUUACUAAUACUACUGGUGCCGCCCAUGGUGACACGGAGGAUCUUAUUAAUUUAUCAGCCAACAAUUCCAGAAUGAUACCGUCAAGCUCGUGCUUCUCGUUGUGAUGUAUCCGAUAGGGGCAUAAUCGAAUGGGCUUUUGUCCUUCUGUAUUAAUAUGGUGCUUUACUAACCCGGUCUUUCCUAGUUCCUCAGUUGAAGAUGCAAAUAUUGAUUUUGUAACAGUUGGUUACAGGAAGUAAAGACACGUACUCAGUGUAUGGGAGAACAACUUGUAUUGGGUAAGACACAGAUGUAAAUGUUACAUACAGUAACAGUUGUGGCAUACAGUCCUGCGGAGUCUUGGGUAGACUCCGCUUAAAUAGCAGUGUGAUGCUGAUGUGGCUGUGCCUACAAGGCACCGACUGGAGGUCAGUUUCCAGACGAUCCAGAUAGAAGAUGUUUCAGAAUAUGAUGUGACCAAAUCGCUGCAAAACAGUGCAUCAAUUUUGGACGACACACCAAAACUAAGCACGGUCCGCACAAAUGGAUGUUAAUAGCAGACCCCGAGGAAAACCCACUUACCCCAUUAAUGAUAAAAAACGUCGAUAAAAAUGAAUGCCUUACAACAGACAACAAUAACAACACAAUUUACUUAGCAUCCUGCAAUGCAAGCGCAUAUCAAUAUUACAUAUUUGAACACAUCCUCCCAGAAAACAGCUACUUCUAAUUCAAUUUGGCACAGGAAGCAACCAUUUCAGCAGACGGAUUCCUAGAAUUAAGAUCCAGUACUUUGUUAGCAGGAAGAUCUUUAAACCUCAGAAAGUGUAGCAGAGUCUCAGCAAGUGGAAGGACGCUCAUUCUGCAACAGUGCGUCACCAUCCCAGUAAAAAUCGAAGCGCGCCUAACCAAGUGUGGAUAUCAACCAUUCUUCCAGACACCUAACGCGAACUUCACAGUUGGCAAAGACGGUUGAGUACUACAUAACAAGUCCCGUUCAAAUUUCUGGGACAUGACUAGCUGGAUAGAAGUAAUAAAAUACGGAUUUCUCGCAUUAAUAAUAUUUUUACUGUCAACACUCGUAUUAUGGAUAUGUUUUACUGGUGUCCCCUUUUAUAGCAUUUUUGCUCUAUGUAAGAGAAAACGGAACCACGUUAAGACUGAACAAGAAAUUCCGUUAACUCAAAGAAAGUCUAGAAGAUCACGCUCUCGUCGUACAACAAAAAUGGACCCUGAAGAAGGUCUCUGUUGGGACGAUGGAUGUGUAAUCCAAAAGAUGGAAUCGUAAAAAUAAUUAAUGAAAACCGCAACCUCUUGUGAUGAUUGGAUCACAAUAUGCACUCACACUGAAGUUACACUUAUACUGAACUAACACUAACACAUAAACACUGAGUAGGUUAUAAGGAAACUUGUAUUUACCACUUGUUAGGGAGUACACUGCCGGGAUCACUCUGCCGGGAUGAGGCAGAGCGUGGGCUUUUAUACUUAGGGUUAGUUAUUGCAACAUAGGUACAGACACGUAUACAGUUGCACCAUCACCAGGAUGUGGUGGUGCAAGAAGAGAAAGAUGUUUGUCGGAUGGCGCAAUUGGCAUUGCACCAUCCGAAGCAACCUAAGUAUCAAGGCUGAAAGCGCCUGCCUUGUCAUAAAAGGCUGACGGCUUUCACCUUGAGAGGCAAGGCUCCUGCCUCGCUACACUCUCGAGUCUCGACCACCCACAUCCUUUAAAAUUUUUUGUCUUAAAUAGUCUUUAAGUAGAAAAUUAUUACAAAAUUUUCAAAUUUACAUUAUGUGACACACAAAAAAAGAAACAAACAAAAAUCCAUUAAAUGUUCAAGGCUAUAUAUUGACUACACAAAUUCAAAUUGUUGUCCCUGUAGAAAAUGGCCAUUCCUCCAACUGCCAUUUAACCCGACGCACCUCUAUCAAAUCUUCAAACGGAUAUUGAAGCUACUCCAUAAACAGUUCCGCAGUUCGAUCAUAAGGAUAGAAAAUAUCUUUGCCUGACUCCAUCCACCAUAGUAAUCUUGAACAACCGAAUGGAUAAAAAUUUCGAUAAAAGGCAUAGCUUUUGUAUCGACUAAAAAAAACAUUUUACUUAAACAUGCAACUAACAAUAAAAUAAUAGUAUGUCUAAAAAUUUGUGAAAUGCUUAUUGGUAAUAAUAAUCGUUGACAUGCACCACACUAAAAUGGUGCCGACAAGCCGGAUACAACAUCCCCGGGUCGACAGCGUCGAAACCUUCGAGGAACAGCACGCGAUGUCUAUCCUCUAACUUGCCCCAAAAGUUAUAACCCUGAAGAGCCGAAAGAGCGACAGAAAUACCACUGUCCACUUGGAGUUUUUGCUCCAAUAAAAUCUCUGGAGACAUCCAAAACCAACCUGACGGCGUAACUGGCAUGUUGCAGGAUUUAAAGACGAACAACAACUGAUCUUCACCUGCAAGCCGUUUCUUCUUUAAAAAGGGAAUGAAGGAGAAGAUGCACCCUAGCAACCAUAUAUCUAUGCCUAGUAUAAUUGUAGUAAAAAUGUAGAUGCAUAUUCUUCUGGUAAAGGAAAUUUAUGGGCAAAUUAAAAAAGAAAGAAAUAAAUAUUCUGUUGUGAUGAUUCACAAUAGUUCUCAAUAAACAAACAACGAGGAGGAGGCAGUGUUCUUGCAGUACUGUGUAUUAAAGUAGAUGUCGGGAUACAAUGCCGGGUACGACUCUGCUGGAUGAACAGAGUGUCGGGCUUUUAUAGACGGUUACCAAGGUUGUGGGGAUUGCACCAUCACUGCAGAGUGUGGCGCAAUCCCGGAUGUAGUUGCAUAGUUAACAGGUGAGAUGGUGCAAUAGAGAAACGCAUCAAGGUACUGCGUAGUAGAUUGACCUUGGGGUACUGCGUAGUAGAUUGCUCUAUACUACAAGCAGUAGGCCGAAUGUUACACAAGUAAUUACACUCCUCCCCCUUCCGCAGAAGUUUGGUCGGGGAAGGAAACUAUUUCUUUUAGUAUCAAUACAUGCAAGGAAAUUUUCGAAUGCUGCUA